UUAAGGUGUAAAGCAUGAUACUUCCUUUCGAUUUAAUCACAACAGGUAGAGAAGUUAUUGAUUUAAUCACAACAGGUAGAGAAGUUAUUUUACAGAAUUAUGGAAAUACAGUUAAUGUAAAUAUUGUAAAACUAAA